GCCACCAUGCCCACGCCCCCACUCCCUCUCCCAUCCAGCCACCCACCAUCGUCGGCGUCGGCCCACCAACGCCCCGGGAAUCGGCUGCCGCACCGCCCCCGCUCCGAAAACCGGCCACCGCUUCCCUCCCUUACCGCGCCGCCGCCGCCGCUUCCCUCCCCGGACUGCGCCACCGCCGCUGUCACCCUCCACGGAUCAUGCCACCGCCGCCUCCCUCCCCGGAUUGCGCCGCCACCGUCCGCCGCUAGCUACCGCUGCCUGUGCAGUCCUUCGCUAGCUACCGCUGCCUCUGCAGUCCUUCGCUAGCUACCGCUGCAGUCCACUGCUAGUUCUUGCGGGGGAGGCAGUGCUGCUCCGGCUACCCAUGCGUCACCGGCUGCCGCCGCGAACGGCGUCCGGACGCCAUCACGUACUGCCCCCCGGAGCCGCCUCCAGCGCGUACCUACUACAGCCUCAGGACAAACCUCUUCCACGCGGGCGACUGGCCGCUCAAACUUCCCCUCGCCGGCCGUCAUGGGCCUCUGUAUCCUCUCAUGGCGGCUCCUCCCCUGUGGCACAAGCAAGGUCAACUGCGACUGGAUGAGACUCAAAAAAUGGUGGUCAUCGGGCUGGGCACCGGCUGCUUAUGUGUUGUACGCCUUGGGCGUCCCUGUGCUGGUGAUGAGCGUGAUGGCCGUGCAUUGACCUGCAUCGCCUGUCCGAACUGUGCCGGCCAUGCGUCCGACAACCUCGUCCAUCCCUGAUCACCUCUUCCGCGCAAUCAGCGGCACAUACACAGACAUGCCUGUGCUGUAUUAUACUUGAACUUCAGAGCUUCUGAACUCUCUGAAUCGGUGUGCAUGUUUUUAUAUUGUGUCAUUGCAUAGCUCCACCACUGAAUUUGGAAAUUCAGUCAAUGCUUAAACUUGAUAAAAAAGAGCAAGAAACAGUGACAGAUUAUGUGUGUUUUUCACGGAAGUGAGCUGGGAAUUUAGAUCUUCCUUUUCAUAAUAUUAAGGGCAUCGAUCAUUCAACUAUUUAUGUUAUCCUUCAUGCUCUGACUUGAGUGAAGUUAUGUGAACUAGCAUAGUAUAUUGUAAUUUUCUGAUUUUGAGUCGUGGCAUAUAGUCCUCACACAAAGUAGUUGCAAAUAUAUUGAAGUAUAUUAUGCACAUAGUUAUCCUCCCUAAUGCCUAAACUGGUACCUUUUCAAUCUUUGUGUUGACUACUAAACAUAAUUAUUGUAGGUCUUCCCUGACCCAUGGUCACGCGAAAGCGGUGCUGCUUCGGCAAGCUCCUCUGUCCCCCGAGCACAGUGUUGUCCAUGACGGUCUCCUCCCUCCUGUUCCCUCAGCGAGGAUGAUGUCAAUUUUUUGCGAAACAGAAAGUUAUGUAGUUCUUCAGUAUAUGUCCAUAGAAACCUAUGACAAUUUCUUCAGUAGCAGUUCAACAGAAAAUCCUGCUGUAGUUCUUGAGUAUUGUUCCAUUAGAAUUUCAUGUUAUCUAAGUAUUUUUAGUACUUGCUAUUGCAGAUAAGUGUUUGUUAGAAUUGACAUUCUGUUAGUAAAGUACCAUUCUUCAGUA